CUUAGGUUUUGUUUGAAUUGUGAGGAUUGAGGAUCAAAACUUGGAGUUCUGUUCUAAACUAAGCGUCACAAGCUACAAUUACCGUAAGUCUAUGGAAACUUAAAUAAGGCCACAAUUUCACAAUCCAUUUAAUAGAGCAAAGCACCUCCUAGAAAUGUAUAAAAAAUAUAAAAUCAAAGCACGAUCAAGCCCUAGCGUGCAUAAUAUCUGCAAAACAUCCACAAUGUUGUUCCCACUAGUUAACUGAAAGCUCCCGGCGCUUGUAUCGCACCAUCACCUUUCCUUUCACACCAACUACCAUUGCAUUCCAGUCAAUCUCGGGGAAAGGAGAUACCAGCUCCAAUUCAAAAUUCCUCAGCAA
rnacentral:misc_RNA from 1 species